rnacentral:lncRNA from 1 species
GGAUAGGUUUGAUACUAAUACCAAGGAAACAUUUCAUAUGCGAAUUAUAAGCAGUCGGGAGAAGGAUGGAAGGACGUAUGAUACACCAACUGCAUCUGAAGUUGCUGCAUUAAUUCCUGGAGAUUUCAAUAUGGAAAUGGAUAAAAGGGACAUUGUUUUGCAAGAGAAGCAAGCAGGAUAUCUUAAGAGGAUAAGUGAGAUUCAUCCUUCCUAUUUAGCACUUCAGUAUCCUCUUAUCUUUACAUAUGGUGAAGAUGGAUUCAGACUUGGUAUAAAAAGGAGAACAACAGAAGCUACAUCUAAGCUGAAGAGAUCUAAUAUCAGUAUGAGACAAUGGUAUGCAUUUCGGAUUCAGGAAAGAGAAAAAGAGUGUCAUACUCUUCUGCACUCUAAAAGGUUGUUCCAACAAUUUUUGGUCGAUGGGUAUACAUCUAUAGAAGCAAAUAGGUUGUUAUAUAUGAGGAUGAACCAGAAAAGCCUUAGAUCCGAUACCUUUGAUUCUAUUCAGCAGUCUGAACACUCAGGAAAGACAGAUAUGCAUGAUCAAGGAAGUCGAACCUACUUACCAGCCUCAUUCACCGGAGGGCCAAGAUACAUGAAGAACAUGUAUCUAGAUGCAAUGGCGAUAUGCAAACACUUGGGUUUUCCUGAUCUGUUUAUAACCUUUACAUGCAACCCAAAGUGGCCUGAAUAACCAGGUAUCUACAACCACGCAAACUAACGGCUGAGGAUAGACCUGAUAUUAUCAACAGGAUUUUCAAGUGUAAAUUGGAUUCUCUAAUGAGUGAUUUAACAGACAAAGAGUUACUGGGAAAGACAGUCGCAUGUAAGUUAUUAUAUCUUUUUUCUUAUGGUUUAUAUGAUAAGGGUCAAAUUUUAAUGUUACUAAUUUUGGGUCUUUUGAUUUGAUGCAGCAAUGUAUACAAUUGAAUUCCAGAAACGUGGUCUACCGCAUGCUCACAUUCUGUUAUUCAUGCAUCCUCAAUCCAAAUUUCCUACAACUGCUGACAUUGACAACAUCAUCUCAGCAGAAAUUUCAGAUAAAAACAAAGAACCAGAGUUGUUUGAAGUUAUAAAGGAUAUGAUGAUUCAUGGUCCUUGUGGUGCAGUUAACAUGAACUCGCCAUGCAUGGAAAAUGGUAAAUGUUCAAAGCUUUAUCCUAAGGAUCAUGUUGAGAAAACCUGGGUCAACAAAGAGGGUUUUCCUGUUUAUAGAAGACGAGACCAACCUGAUUGCUUUGUAGAGAAAAAUGGCUUCAAAUGCGAUAACAGAUAUGUCAUACCAUACAACAAAGAAUUGUCUCUUCGCUAUCGAGCCCACAUUAAUGUGGAAUGGUGUAAUCAAACGGGUUCUAUUAAAUACUUAUUCAAGUAUAUUAAUAAAGGUCAAGACAAAAUUACUGUCACUGUUGAGCCGCCAGAAAAAGGAGCACCAAAGGAAAAUGUCUCUAAAGAUGGAGCUGUAAAAGAGCCCGAGAAAAACGAGAUCAAAGACUUUUUUACUGGAAGGUAAUUUUCGUGCUCCAUAACUUAAUACAGAUAUGUUUUUUUGAUUUCUGAUUCCAAAUUUUGGUUACAUAUUUUUCAGAUAUGUCUCGGCCUGUGAAGGUUCUUGGAGGAUUUUCAAGUUUCCUAUACACUAUCGAUCAGUACCGGUUGAGAGAUUGCAGUUUCAUCUUCCUGGAAAGCAAAUAAUUAUUUUCAAGGACGAUGACACUUAUGAAAAAGUGAUAAGUGAAAAGCUUCUUGAAAACACAAUGUUCUUGGCAUGGUUUGAAUUAAACAAGGUCAAUGCUCUUGCUAGAACACUCACUUUCGCUGAAAUCCCAAUGUUCUUCACUUGGAAUAAAAAGGAGAGAAAAUUUCAGGAAAGAAAAAAAGGUUUCUGUAUUGGUAGGAUCAACUAUGCUCCAAGGAAGAUUGAAGAAGCGUUUUACUUGCGUGUCUUGCUCAACGUUGUUAGAGGUCCAACAUGUUUUGAUGAUAUUAAAACGUUCAACAACGUUUUGUAUCCUUCUUACACGGAGACAUGUUUUGCAAGGGGAUUACUAGAAGAUGAUCAAGAGUAUAUUGAUGAUAUUGUGAGGACGAGUUUCACAGAAUCAGCAUCAUCUAUGCGUCAUGCUUUUGUGGUAAUGCUCAUGUCUGGUAGUUUGUCAAAGCCCGAGGUUGUUUGGGAACAUACAUGGGAGUUGCUAUCUGACGAUAUCGAAUAUAGACGGAGAAAGCUAUUAAAAAGACCAGGUUAUAUACUAUUUUAUUUUUUAUAUUCUAACUCAUACUAUCUAAAACUAUCUGAGACUAAAUCGUUUUCUGUUGUUUUUGUAGAUCUUUGUCUAAGUGAUGAUGAGAAAAAACGGUUGACUCUUCUUGAGAUUGAAAAGAUUUUAAAGAGUAAUGGAACUUCUUUAGAACAAUGGGAAACUAUGCCAAAGGCCGUUCCAGAUAAUGGUGCAAGUGACAAUGUCUUGAUUUUGGAUGAGCUGAGUUACGAUAGGGAUGAGUUGAAAGCUGAACAUGACAGGGAUAUUGGAAAACUGACAGAAGAGCAAACGAAGAUUUAUGAUGAGAUUGUUGAUGCUGUCGUUAAGGAUAAAGGAGGUGUGUUCUUCGUUUAUGGAUUUGGUGGUACCGGUAAAACAUUCCUCUGGAGAUUGUUGUCUGCAGCUAUCAGAUACAAAGGAGAAAUAUGUUUGAACACUGCAUCAAGUGGGAUAGCUUCUCUAUUGCUACAAGGAGGAAGGACAGCACAUUCUAGGUUUGGAAUACCGAUAAACCCAGAUGAGUAUUCUACUUGCACACUUAUUCCAGGAAGUGAUCAAGCUAAUUUGGUGAAAGCAGCUUCCUUUAUCAUUUGGGAUGAAGCACCAAUGAUGAGUAGACACUGUUUUGAAUCUCUGGAUAGGAGUAUGAAAGACAUUAUGGGGAGCAAUGACAACAUGCCUUUUGCUGGGAAAGUUGUUGUCUUUGGAGGCGAUUUUAGACAAAUACUGCCUGUCAUACCUGCUGCUGGAAGGGCAGAAAUUGUACUGGAUUCUCUAAAUUCAUCAUAUUUAUGGAAGCAUGUUAAAGUCAGGCAGCUAACAAAAAAUAUGAGGCUACUUUCUGAUAAUUUGACUGCUGAAGAUGCCAAGGAUCUAAAGGAGUUUUCACAGUGGAUAUUAGAUGUGGGAGAUGGAAAUAUUGGCGAAGAGAAUGAUGGAGAAGUAGCAAUCAAUAUCCCAGAUGAGUUUCUUAUUACUGAUGGAGAUGAUCCAAUAGAAUCCAUCACCAAAGCAGUCUAUGGGGAUGUUGUUUCUUUGCAACAGAAUAAAGAACCUAAGUUUUUUCAAGAAAGAGCAAUUCUCUGUCCUACGAAUGAGGAUGUCAACAUGAUUAAUCAGCACAUGCUGGAUAAACUUGAAGGUAUUACGAUUUUAAAUGUUUCUAACUAGAUUACUAAACUCGCAGAUUUGUUCAUUUAUGGAGUUGUUGUUUACAUGCAGGUGAGGAAAGAAUUUUUUUUAGCUCUGACUCCAUAGAUGCUUCUGAUAGAUUCUCAAUAAAUGACCAAGCUCUCACUCCUGACUUUUUAAACAAAAUCAAGACUUCUGGUCUGCCAAAUCAUAGUCUUAGAUUGAAAGUCAGCUGUCCUAUGAUGUUGCUUAGAAACAUUGAUCAUACGGCUGGAUUAAUGAAUGGCACUAGACUCCAGAUUACAGAGAUGUAUGAUUUCAUGGUAAAGGCGAAAGUGAUUACUGGACGAGAGGUUGGUCGUACUGUGGUUAUUCCUAGACUUUCUAUCACACCAUCGGAUAAGAAGUUGCCUUUCAAAAUGAGGAGGAGACAACUGCCUCUUGCAGUUGCAUUUGCUAUUACUAUCAAUAAGAGUCAGGGUCAAUCACUUUCGCAAGUCGGUUUGUAUCUAUCAAGAGAUUUUUUCUCUCAUGGACAGCUAUACGUGGCCAUCUCGAGGGUUACAUCCAAAAAAGGUUUGAAAAUUUUGAUUGUUGACAAUGAAGGCAAGCCUCAGAAGAAAACGAAGAAUGUUGUUUUCAAAGAGAUUUUCCAGAAUCUCUAACUUAAAAGAUUAUUUUGGUGUUUAAGAUUAUUUUGCUGUUUUUUUCUACUUUAAAAACUUCCAUAUAUUUUCAGACAUUAAAGUUAUUUUGCAAACAUUGCAACGUUCUAAUCUCUAUCUUAUUAUUUACAUACAAUAUCACACAAAACAGAACCACUCACGAUCCUCUUUUACUGUAUUCUAAAUUGAUUACUAACUUCGGUCUAAAGUAUACAUACUAUUAAGCAUAGAAUUUGAGCUACUUGGUAACACUCAUCAAACAACACAUUGUUUCUUCACCCAGAACAUCAGACAUAAUUUUACUAAUAUCUGUCAAAAAUAUUAACAACUAUAAGCACAGAAAACACUCAUCAAACAACACAUAGUUUCUUCGUAUCCGAAAUAAAAUUCAGUACCAUUCAUGUAGUGAGAGCGGGGAUCUAAAUUAGUUGAAGAGACUUACAUGUUAUGGCCAUGCUUUUUGUCGUCUGCCAAAUCUAUUUGAUUGUUUCCCUUUAUUCCAGUUACUUCUUCUUUUUAAACCCGUGCUUCCUGAAGGCAAAAUCAGAUUUCCAUAAGAACACAACAAUACCACGAUCAAACUAUUGAAGUCUAAUUAUUGAGCAUUUAUAAACAACUUAUCUUGCCCUGUUUUUUAAUGGUGGACCAGAAAUCCUUCUUUACAUAUAUGGUUGAACAGGAGAUCUUCUUUCUUCUCUCUGGAAAACUAAACGUUACAUAGUGAACCUAUUAUCUUCGACCACUGAUUCAUCUUCUCCUUAGUACGGUCUGAUCCAGCUGUCAAGAACUUUCAUCAAUCAGUUACGUUUUCAACUAAUGAAGAUAACUUUAUAUAGAGACAGGAAGUAACAUCUGAAAACAAGAUUUUUUCAAAAACAAUUACAACAGCAGGUUGAUCAGUUACCAGAAUAAAAAUAUUUAUUUUUAAAAAAAAAAGGUAUAUACCUCUUUGUCAAGACCAAAGCAACGAUUUGAGAUUUGUCGGCAGAUAUGUGCAUUCAGACUUGAGAUCUGACAGCAGAUCAAUAGAAAAUGAAAAUUUCACCAGCAAAAAACCCAAAGUAUUUUAUCAUCUCAACUUUUAACAUAACCAAAAAGUAAUUGAUUAACUAACCUUGAAUGUAAAAUCGACAGAUGAAGAAGAUAUAUAGAACAACCGUUUGAUAGACAUGAAACCUAUAUGUUCUGCGUGUCUUGAUUUGCUAUUGAAGUUUGUAAACUUCUUUCGGUCAGUAUUGAAGAACAGAGAAGAUGAUGAGAUUUUUUGAUCACCGACAAAGAACCUUCGACUAGGUAAAAAAGUGGUUGGCU